UGCCAGCCAGGACCGAUCCCUACAUCUGAACACUGGGCUGUUCAAAAUCCCGGCCUGGAGCCCAGGGCCAGGGCUCGGGGCCACGGAUGUUCUUGCACCCCCAGGUCUGCCCCAUGCUGCAGGGGACCCACUCACAGCUCACAAGGAGGGGAGCGAUUGGGAAGAGGUGGCUGGGGAGAUUGAGGGGACAGGGCUAGAAUUCAGGAGCCCUGGGGUCAAUUCCCAGCUCUGCUGCAAACUUCCUGUGUGAUCUUGGGCACCUCUCCCUGCACCUCAGUUCCCUUGCAGGAAAAUCAUCCUUUAUUUCUCCCACCUUGUGUCUAUUUUGACUGUGAGCUGUUGAGAGCAGGGACUGUCCCCUCCUGUCCGUACAGCGCCUGGCACACAGGGGCCUGCAGGUGCGGCUGUACUGCACGUGCUGAUAAUCAAGUGUUCUGCAUUUCCACUGACGUCGCUGUGACUUUCUUCUAGGUCUGCAGCUAUUGGAUGAAGCACAGGCAGGAGUCCAGAUGCUGAAAGACCUGCUGGGUAAUGUCAGUGCAGAUCCAGUGCAGAUCAAGAUCUGGCUGGACAUCAGUGCAGCGCGACCAGCAGUGAAAGAUUGCUGCAGUGACGUGCUGACAAAGCUCUCCAGGGGCUGGAGGUUUUACGGCGGGAACCUCUAUUACUUUUCACAAGGAAGGAAGUCGUGGGAAGAGGCUGAGCGGUAUUGUGUGUCUCAGGACUCGCACCUGACCUCUGUCUCCUCCCAGGCAGAACAGGCAGCUGCGGCUGCAUCCUGCAGCCUCUCUUGGGUGACCUGCACAUGCUGCAAACUGUGUUGUGCAGGAGUUUCUCACCACCGAGACCAAGGGACAAAAUUACUGGAUUGGACUCAUCGACCGGGAGACAGAAGGCAGCUGGCGCUGGGCGGAUGGCACAGAUUACAGAGCAGACGCAAGCAGGGGGUGAGUGAAGCUUGAGAGAAGUGAGUAUUUAUUACACGUUUGGUCACAAGCUCUUUCAGGCAGGGUCUGUACGGCCCCUUGUGUCUAUGCAGCACCCUGCACAGCGGGCC
rnacentral:lncRNA from 1 species